CUUGAAGAUUCCCUGAAGCAUUGGGAAGCAGAACCCCUCUGUUCUGCCUGGGUGCAUUCACUUCCAGGAUACAGAGCCAUGCUUCUCAGCUCUCAUUCUGAUACUCUGACAUUCAGGAUCUUUGCUGCAAAAAGGGCUCGGCUUCCAUAAAGAAGUCAGGGAGUGCUCUUUCUGGCCCAAAUAAGUUUAACUAUCCUGAAGGAUAGGUGGCAGCUCAGUAUGGAGUUGCUAUUUUGUACACUGGUCUUUGUUUUUGCCUACACUUUGCUUUAGAUGCCUGCAUUCUUUAUUGGAUCUCACUCCUAAUUUUGUCUACAAAGUGCAGUAAAUUGGCUUACAGAAAUAUUGGAACUGGUUUCUCAGGAAGGUCUCAAAUCAACAAAAGAGAAUGUCAGCAACUAAGUGCCAGCUUUGCAGGAGAUAACAGAGUCGUGGGAGAGAUCCUAAUAAGAUUGAACAGUAGUGACUAA
rnacentral:lncRNA from 1 species